rnacentral:misc_RNA from 1 species
GAUGAAGAACGUAGCGAAAUGCGAUACGUAAUGUGAAUUGCAAAUUCAGUGAAUCAUCGAGUCUUUGAACGCACAUUGCGCCCCCUGGUAUUCCGGGGGGCAUGCCUGUCCGAGCGUCAUUGCUGCCCUCAAGCACGGUUUGUGUGUUGGGCCCCGUCCUCCGAUCCCGGGGGACGGGCCCGAAAGGCAGCGGCGGCACCGCGUCCGGUCCUCGAGCGUAUGGGGCUUUGUCACCCGCUCUGUAGGCCCGGCCGGCGCUUGCCGAUCAACCCAAAUUUUUUAUCCAGGUUGACCUCGGAUCAGGUAGGGAUACCCGCUGAACUUAAGCAUAUCAAUAAGCGGAGGA